UUGACAGGAGUCACAUAUUUGUUCGUGAUUGUUUUCAGCAAUCCCUGCCUGGCAUGAUGGAGACAGAGGGUUGGAUUCUAAGCCUUGCCUUUGUGGCUAGAUCAUCUAGCAACAUACUGAACAAGAGCUAAAAAUCUACAUCCACCUUUUUGUUCUGGAUUAGUGGCUUUCACCAAGCUUGGAUUAUAUGAGCAGAAAGAAGACCCAGAAAACUAAUCACUAUGUCAUUCCUAGCCAUUCCACCUUCUUACUAUAUUUCAGAGUCUCUUUAAAUUUUGUUCUACAAACCAGGUGCAGUGGCUCAUGCCUAUAAUCUCAGCACUUUGGGAGGUCAAGGCAGUGACUCACUUGAGGUCAGGGGUUUGAGACCAGCCUGACCAAUAUCCGUGAAACCCCAUCUCUACUAAAAAUACAAAAAUUAGCUGGACGUGGUGGCGCAUGCCUGUAGUCCCAGGUGCUUGGGAGACUAAGACAAGAGAAUCACUUGAACCCGGGAGGCAAAGUCUACAGUGACCCGAGAUUGCACCACUGCACUCCAGCCUGGG